rnacentral:rRNA from 1 species
AUUGAACGCUGGCGGAAUGCUUUACACAUGCAAGUCGAACGGCAGCACGGGGCAACCUGGUGGCGAGUGGCGAACGGGUGAGUAAUACAUCGGAACGUGCCCAAUCGUGGGGGAUAACGUAGCGAAAGUUACGCUAAUACCGCAUACGAUCUACGGAUGAAAGCGGGGGAUCGCAAGACCUCGCGCGAAUGGAGCGGCCGAUGUCAGAUUAGGUAGUUGGUGGGGUAAAGGCUCACCAAGCCAACGAUCUGUAGCUGGUCUGAGAGGACGACCAGCCACACUGGAACUGAGACACGGUCCAGACUCCUACGGGAGGCAGCAGUGGGGAAUUUUGGACAAUGGGCGCAAGCCUGAUCCAGCCAUUCCGCGUGCAGGAUGAAGGCCUUCGGGUUGUAACUAGCUUUGUACGGUAACGAAACGGACGAGCUCUAAUACAGUUUGCUAAUGACGGUACCGUAAGAAUAAGACACCGGCUAACUACGUGCCAGCAGCCGAC